GACAGAGGAUGCAAGCGUUAUCCGGAAUCACUGGGCGUAAAGCGUCUGUAGGUGGUUCGAAAAGUCCACUGUUAAAAAUUGAGGCUUAACUUCAAAGAUGCCGUAGAAACUUUUAAACUAGAGGAUGGUAGGGGUAGAGGGAAUUUCCAGUGGAGCGGUGAAAUGUGUAGAUAUUGGAAAGACCACCGAUGGCGAAGGCACUCUACUGGGCCAUGACUGACACUGAGAGACGAAAGCUAGGGGAGCAAAUGGG
rnacentral:rRNA from 1 species